AACGAACGCUGGCGGCAGGCUUAACACAUGCAAGUCGAGCGAGACGUCCGGGUCUAGCUGCGGACGGGGAGGGAAGGCGGGGGAACUUGCCCUUGUCUACGGAAUCCUCUCGUUAAAGAGAGCGUAAGAACGUUUACGCCAAUAGGGGGUAAGAGUUAUCGGCGCAGGGUCGGGGCGGGUUGGAUUAGGUGGUUGGUGGGGUAAUGGCCUACCAUGCCUACGUUGCUGAGCUGGUUGGUGAGCAUGCUCCGCCACGCUGGGACUGAGACCCGGCCCAGACUCCUACGCAAGGCAGCAGUGGGGAAUCUUAGGCGAGGGGGGCAACCCUGAUCUCGCCAUGCCGCGUGAGUGAUGAAGGCGUUAGGGUUGCAAAGCUCUUUCAGCUGAGAAGAUAGUGACGGUACCAGCAGAAGAAGCCCCGGCUAACUCCGUG
rnacentral:rRNA from 1 species